rnacentral:lncRNA from 1 species
AAUAAUUGAGUGAUGAAUCCAAUAGAGAGCGUUUUGUGUAAGUGGGCAUGUUUGUACCCUAACAAGCAGAUUGAAGUAGACAUAUGACAAAAUGCGGAGGACCACAUAGUACCCAAUUUAUAGGUGUAAGUCAGCCACACCAUGACUCCAUUGCUUUGUUUGUGGGGCAUUUCAUCCAACUUUUGAUAAUUAGAAAAGGGAGAAAAUAUCUGCUCCUAAUAUCAUAUUCUAUGACCAAAUUAAAGCUGCAAACCACCCCACCCAAAUUGAACAUCUCAGGUAAAAAGGAAGUGAAAGUAGGCUUUUGCUUCGCUCAAACUUGACCUCACUCUGUUUGGAUUUUUUUUAUACAUAUAUAUA